CAUCAGCCUCCUCUGCAGAGCGUGCAGCCUCAGGAGCAUCUGAGCUUUCUGCAUCUUCCAGCACUGAUGCGGGCAGAGGCUCAAGGUGUCCUGCAGGCCCGGGACCAGCAUCCAGAAGAGACGGUGAACACACAGCGUGUGCCUCAUCAGAUGGGAUCCAGCAUGCUGUUGUCGGGGUGUCAGAUGACUGUCCUGCCAUUUCUAUCCCAGCAGUCUCUUCCAACUCUAGCUGCGAAUCCUGGACUGUAACAUCCCUGGCUGGGGAACCAUCGGAAGCAGA
rnacentral:lncRNA from 7 species